rnacentral:lncRNA from 1 species
AUGGUAAUCCACACACAACACUGGGUGUCUUCUGCAUUUGGAAUCAGAAUGAAGCUGUCAUUUACCACCAAAGCUACUUUAGGCUGCCUGUGUCUGAUUCUUGCAAAUGGAUUUCAAGUUUCAGAGGAUGAAUCUCUGAUGAUCAUUGGGCCUGAGUACAGCCAAAUAGAAGCUGAUCCAGGUGAACCUCUGGUUCUUCACUGUGAUGUUUUCACAAAGAGCGACACGGACGAGACUCUUAUCUACUGGCUUGUUAAUGGCUCUUUCCCUGAGGACACACUCAGCCACGACCGGAUCAUUGAAUCUAAUGAGUCAAGUUUGGAGAAGGGUUCGAUCUUACACAAGAGUUUGCUCUUGAAGAACAUCACCGCUGAAGACCUGAAUUCCACUUUUUGCUGUGUUGUAACCAGUGUACAGGAGGUGGUGCAGAAGUCCAUAACGAUAAAAGCUACAACUCAUGGUUGUGGUGGCAAUAAGAGAAAAAAAAACUAAAUGUUAAAAGUGGUUUCUACAUGCAGAAGAGCAAAAUAGUGAUGUAAAAAUAAAAGUUAUUAAAGGAAAUGUAUUUUUAUAUAUGCAUGCUUUUCAUUCUUGACUGCUUGAAAAAAUUAAAAUAACUUUUAAAGUCAAUAUUUAUAAUUUAACUGUUUAAGAGUAUUUUCUUAUUUUUAACUUAAAGCAGCUUUGAUAUUACCGGUAAUUCUAAACUCAUUUUGAUGUAUAAGUUGAACUUGUCUGUUUUAAAUGACGUUUCUCUCAAACCAUGGAAUAAAAUGUAUUCGUUUCAAAUU